CUACGGGCGGCACCAGUGGGGAAUAUUGCACAAUGGGCGAAAGCCUGAUGCAGCAACGCCGCGUGAGGGACGACGGCCUUCGGGUUGUAAACCUCUUUUAGCAGGGAAGAAGCGAAAGUGACGGUACCUGCAGAAAAAGCACCGGCUAACUACGUGCCAGCAGCCGCGGUAAUACGUAGGGUGCAAGCGUUGUCCGGAAUUAUUGGGUGUAAAGAGCUCGUAGGCGGUUUGUCGCGUCUGCUGUGAAAAUCCGAGGCUCAACCUCGGACCUGCAGUGGGUACGGGCAAACUAGAGUGCGGUAGGGGAGAUUGGAAUUCCUGGUGUAGCGGUGGAAUGCGCAGAUAUCAGGAGGAACACCAAUGGCGAAGGCAGAUCUCUGGGCCGUAACUGACGCUGAGGAGCGAAAGCGUGGGGAGCGAACAGGAUUAGAUACCCUGGUAGUC
rnacentral:rRNA from 1 species